AGGUUUGUACAGUGGCAAUAUUGUAAGCAAUGAAGUUUAUCUGAGACACAAUUAUUGCUAAUUGAAAACUUUUCCCAAAAAUCAACC
ensembl:snRNA U4 U4 spliceosomal RNA